UUCUAAUUGUGGUGCUGGAGAAGAUUAUUGAGAGUCCCUUGGACAGCAGUGAGAUCAAACCAGUCAGUCCUAAAGGCAAUCAAACCUGAAUAUUCACUGGAAGGAACAAUGCCAAAGCUGAAGCUCCAAUACUUUGGUCACCUGAGUGCAAAUGGCCAACUCAUUGGAAAAGACUCUGAUGUUGUGAAAGACUGAUGGCAGGGGGAGAAGCAGGCAACAGAGGAUGAGAUGGUUGGAUAACACCAUUGACUCAAUGGACAUGAGUUUGAGCAAACUCUGGGAGACAGUGAAGGACAGGGAAGCCUGGCAUUCUGCAGUUCAGAGGGUCGCAAAGUCAGUCAUGACUGAGCAGCUGAACAACUUCCUCACUACCAUCUCUCUUCUAUCCCCAAAUCUUGAUUGAUGCCAACAAAGUCAAACAUGUUCAUAAGAGUAAAAAGUCUCUCAACAGACAAGCCCUCAAACGCUCAUGUUACUCCAGAGGAAACACUUCAGAGGCACUGUGAGGGGUGGGCUGCAAAGCAACGCAAGGAAAGUUGAACAGUGCCAUGGAGCCAGGGGCUGGAGACGCCACCCCCUACUGAUGCCCUUGGGUGACCUUCACCAUCCUGUAGCUCUGCAGUUCUGGGGAGGGGAGGGGCGUGCAAGACCUGCAAGAGGGGGGCCCUUAGUCACAAGAUACUUCCUGGUAAAAAGAGAAGGAGGCCAAAAUGGAUUUGAGAUUAUAUAGAGAGUAGGAUCUUUUUAAAGAGUUUUAUCUCAAAGGGAAGGGAGAAAAAAAAUGAUUUUAAAAAAAGCAACACUUGAACUAGGCUUUUGUAUUCAAGAGGCAGGCAGGAAUACCCACAGUGUGUAACUUAUGCAGCUAGAGCUGCUCAUUCACUGGCAAAAAUUUUAAAAAAGAGAGCAAGUCUGCUCUUAAAAAAAUACUGUGUGUCCUGUGAGGUGAAUUUGUUCACCUAUUAGGUUGGAGACCUGAAGAGCUUGGCUGAGAUGAUCUGUUUUCUACCAGGGCAAGUCAUCACAAAAAUGACUGAACUUACUUUUGAACUUGCACUGCCAUGAUCCUGCUGUGCUUUUCAGCAUUGGGGCUAUCAAACUGAAUGGGCUAAUCAAAUACAAUUCUCAGGCCCGUAAGCAUUGUUCUAAAGUCUUCAUCAUUAAAUGAUAUGCUGUGAGAACAAUAGACAGUUUAUUUUAUUAGGCCAUGGCCUGGGGGAAGG
ensembl:lncRNA